AUUGAACGCUGGCGGCAGGCCUAACCCAUGCAAGUCGAACGCGUGGCGGGAGGGUGAGGUAUGUCUGGGUAACUGCCAUAUGGAGGGGUACAUCCUCUGGAAACGGUAGCAAACACCGUAAUACAUCGGAUAUGCCCAGAGGGGAGGAGCUAGGAGGUGGGGUAAAGGCUCACCGAGGCGACUACCCCUAGCUGGUCUGAGAGGAUGACCAGCCACACGGGUACUUAGACACGUUCCAGACUCCUACGGGAGGCAGCAGUGGGGAAGAUUGCACAAUGGGCGCAAGCCUGAUGCAGCCAUGCCGCGUGUAUGAAGAAGGCCUUCGGGUUGUAAAGUACUUUCAGCGGGGAGGCGUUACCCACAGAAGAAGCACCGGCUAACUCCGUGCCAGCCGCCGCGGUAAUAC
rnacentral:rRNA from 1 species